rnacentral:rRNA from 1 species
UACAGAGGGUGCGAGCGUUAAUCGGAAUUACUGGGCGUAAAGCGCACGUAGGUGGUUGUAUAAGUCAGAUGUGAAAUCCCCGGGCUCAACCUGGGAAUGGCAUUUGAUACUGUAAGACUAGAGUAUGAUAGAGGGAAGUGGAAUUUCUGGUGUAGCGGUGAAAUGCGUAGAUAUCAGAAGGAACAUCAGUGGCGAAGGCGACUUCCUGGAUUAAUACUGACACUGAGGUGCGAAAGCGUGGGGAUCAAACAGG